AAACCUUACCUUUCCUUGACAGGGUCGGAAUCCCGCAUAGAGGUGGGAGUGCUCGAAAGAGAACCGGGGCACAGGUGCUGCAUGGCUGUCGUCAGCUCGUGUCGUGAGAUGUUGGGUUAAGUCCCGGCACGAGCGCAACCCUUGUUCUCUAGUUGCUACGCAAGAGCACUCUAAGGAGACUGCCGGUGACAAACCGGAGGAAGGUGGGGAUGACGUCAAGUCCUCAUGGCCCUUAUGGGUAGGGCUUCACACGUCAUACAAUGGUCGGAACAGAGGGUUGCCAACUCGCGAGGGGGAGCUAAUCCCAGAAAACCGAUCGUAGUCCGGAUUGCACUCUGCAACUCGAGUGCAUGAAGCUGGAAUCGCUAGUAAUCGCGGAUCAGCAUUCUGCGGGAAUAAG
rnacentral:rRNA from 2 species